CGCGGCCUAUCAGCUUGUUGGUGGGGUAAUGGCCUACCAAGGCGGCGACGGGUAGCCGGCCUGAGAGGGUGUACGGCCACAUUGGGACUGAGAUACGGCCCAGACUCCUACGGGAGGCAGCAGUGGGGAAUAUUGCACAAUGGGCGCAAGCCUGAUGCAGCGACGCCGCGUGGGGGAUGGAGGCCUUCGGGUUGUAAACUCCUUUCGCUAGGGACGAAGCUUUUUGUGACGGUACCUAGAUAAGAAGCACCGGCUAACUACGUGCCAGCAGCCGCGGUAAUACGUAGGGUGCGAGCGUUGUCCGGAAUUACUGGGCGUAAAGGGCUCGUAGGUGGUUUGUCGCGUCGUCUGUGAAAUUCUGGGGCUUAACUCCGGGCGUGCAGGCGAUACGGGCAUAACUUGAGUGCUGUAGGGGUAACUGGAAUUCCUGGUGUAGCGGUGAAAUGCGCAGAUAUCAGGAGGAACACCGAUGGCGGAGGCAGGUUACUGGGCAGUUACUGACGCUGAGGAGCGAAAGCAUGGGUAGCGAACAGGAUUAGAUACCCUGGUAGUCCAUGCCGUAAACGGUGGGCGCUAGGUGUGAGGGUCUUUCUACGACUUUCGUGCCGUAGCUAACGCAUUAAGCGCCCCGCCUGGGGAGUACGG
rnacentral:rRNA from 1 species